UUCCUGAUACGCUGUAGCAGGCGUCACAGUGCAUUUGGAAGCACGAGUUUGCUAGUUAUUUGUAGCUUUCUAGAGCAGGACAUCAUAUGAUUUAAUUUGGAGAGGAUUUAGCAGAUAGUACGUGGUACAGCAGUGUGAUACCAGCUGAGUCAGUCACUCCGGUUUGUUUCAUAACUGAGCCAUGACCUUCAGCCGUGUGGGUCCACAGCGGUUCCUAUAGUCUUCCCAGCGUCGUAUUGUAGGUGUCCUUGGUAAAGAUCUAAAUGGAUAAAACGUCCCGCAAAAUUUCGAACCAGGACAUAAACCCCUGCUUA